AUACGUAGGGUGCGAGCGUUAAUCGGAAUUACUGGGCGUAAAGCGUGCGCAGGCGGUUUUGUAGACAGUGGUGAAAUCCCCGGGCUCAACCUGGGAACUGCCAUUGUGACUGCAAGGCUGGAGUGCGGCAGAGGGGGAUGGAAUUCCGCGUGUAGCAGUGAAAUGCGUAGAUAUGCGGAGGAACACCGAUGGCGAAGGCAAUCCCCUGGGCCUGCACUGACGCUCAUGCACGAAAGCGUGGGGAGCAAACAGGAUUAGAUACCCUGGUAGUCCACGCCCUAAACGAUGUCAACUGGUUGUUGGGAAUUUAUUUUCUCAGUAACGAAGCUAACGCGUGAAGUUGACCGCCUGGGGAGUACGGCCGCAAGGUUAAAACUCAAAGGAAUUGACGGGG
rnacentral:rRNA from 1 species